GUUUGUUGUGGGCUCUUCUCAGACCUGAGCACGUUUGGAACCCUCGUAGCUUUAGUUUCAAGUUAACGUAGUUAAUUAUCACCGCUAUAUCUUUUUACAAAUCUUACAAUUCUGCCCAUCAAAAGAGUAAAAAGUUACCUAUU